rnacentral:rRNA from 1 species
UACCGCGUGUGUGAAGAAGGCCUUAGGGUUGUAAAGCACUUUCAAUUGGGAGGAAAACCUACCGGUCAAUACCCGGUAGCUUGACAUUACCUUUAGAAGAAGCACCGGCUAACUCCGUGCCAGCAGCCGCGGUAAUACGGAGGGUGCGAGCGUUAAUCGGAAUUACUGGGCGUAAAGCGUGCGUAGGCGGUUCGUUAAGUCAGAUGUGAAAGCCCUGGGCUCAACCUGGGAACUGCAUUUGAAACUGGCGGACUAGAGUUUAGUAGAGGGGAGUGGAAUUUCAGGUGUAGCGGUGAAAUGCGUAGAUAUCUGAAGGAACACCAGUGGCGAAGGCGACUCCCUGGACUAGAACUGACGCUGAGGUACGAAAGCGUGGGUAGCAAACAGGAUUAGAUACCCUGGUAGUCCACGCCGUAAACGAUGUCGACUAGCCGUUGGGCCUAUAUACAGGUUUAGUGGCGCAGCUAACGCAUUAAGUCGACCGCCUGGGGAGUACGGCCGCAAGGUUAAAACUCAAAUGAAUUGACGGGGGCCCGCACAAGCGGUGGAGCAUGUGGUUUAAUUCGAUGCAACGCGAAGAACCUUACCUACCCUUGACAUCCAGAGAAUCUGUUAGAGAUAG